UAAUGAGACUCUUGACGCCCGAAGG
rnacentral:piRNA from 1 species